GAGAAGGGAGGAGUUAUUCAGGCCUCCGCCAGCUUCUAGGCCCUGGGGAUGGUCUUUCACCUCCCUCUUUCUGAUCUCUUUUUCAUGCUCCUCCUUGCUCCAAAGAAAAGCCGGAUGGCAAAAGAGCCCAGAACCUAUUGGAACUGACAAAAUCAAGUCACGGCGCCUACAAAGAUGAGGGGCAGAUUCUGGCUGCCUUUUAAUUUCGUCCUUCACCUGAUAUCUGUGCCAGAGAAUGAUAAAAAUCAUAAUAAAGGAAAUAAUGGAAGAGGAGACUUAUGUUACUGGGGACAUCUAACAUAAUUAUUUUCCUGAUUCAGUGGCAUGGUUCAGUCUUCCAGGAGUUCUGCUACAGAGAAGAGAGUAACCCCCAUCCAUCAUGGCCAAAGCACCCAGUCAGGCUCCGCUCUGGAUCCAGCCCGACAAAUGCAACCCUUGAAUAGGGUUUGUGCAAGCAAACUGGAUGACGACCGAAGAAACCCUGUCGCUUCUGAGAAGACACCCAAUCCAAGAAUAUACAGUCGAAUGUAAUUUGGAAUUUACGAGUCUUAUCACAUUCUCAUUCUGCUUGAGCAAUUCAAGAUAUAAGAAAAACAGACUGUCUACAUUUCUUCAGAGUUCCUCCAACUAUUGGCUUAAAAUUCCUGAAAUUAAAAUUAUAGUUCUUUGACAUCGCUUCUGUCUAAUCAUUGCUGAUACCUGGAAAACACCAAAUGGCUUACUUACACAGUGUCCCACUCUGAAAUUUCUCACAUAAAGGAUUGUCUUACACAGAAAUACUGACCAUUUUGACAAGGGAAUGGCCCUAGAAUUGGGCCAGAGCUAAAAAUAAGCAGAAUAAACAAUUUUGAUAUUCUUCUUCAAUGGUCAUAAAUCUAGUUAGCAUGUUAUCAUUUACAUAUUAUGAUUUUGUUCAUGAUAGUUGUAGUAGAAUGGCCUAAAGAAAUCAAGAUCUGUUUUAUCUUCUACAUUACUUUAGUUACUGUAAGACUGAUAACUCACAUUGUCGUUUACCAAGUAUUUCCAUUUGUUCCUUGGAAUAAUCCUGUGAAGUGGGUAUUUUUUAUCACUAGUUUCAUAUAAUGAAUAUAUUAC
rnacentral:lncRNA from 1 species